rnacentral:tRNA from 1 species
GCGAGCGCUGCAGAUCGGAUUGGAUCCGAGGUGGACCGACAAUCCGCCGCCGCUACGCCGGCAUAGCAGGUUCGACUCCUGCCACGCUCGCU